AUAAUCUAAUAUCUGAAAAACUAUAGAAACAAAUAUUAAAAAAUUAAAAAAAAACUUAAAGAAAAAAAUCACUACGAAGAUUUAAACCUCAGAGGUGUUGAACCGGGUUGACAUCUUGUCGUAGGAAAAAAAAUAUACAAAAAAAAACGCAAUUAUUGAUUUAUUAACAUUAAUAUAUUUAUUUGUAAAAUGUUUACACUACGUGUUCUUUAUGACCAUCAAGUAUAAUACAGGUAUAGUAUUUAUUAACAUAAUAUGUACAUAAGCUGUAAUGCGUAGGUAGAAUAAGUAUCAAAUUGUAAUAUUAAUGUAAUAACCAUGUUUCACUAAUUGAUAAAUUGUUUAAUAUAUAUGUACUGUUCAUUGAGACUGGCUGAAUGACUUUAGUCAAAACCAAAAAAA
rnacentral:lncRNA from 1 species